GGACCAUGGUCCAGUGGUGGAGCACUUGCUUUGCAUGCAGAAGGUCCCAGGUUCAGUCCCUGGCAUCUCCA